GUUGAAAAGUAGCACAAAACCUAACAUUUCUUAACAAAUUAAAUUAAAUUUUAUUAUUUGUCACAAAGUAGGCGAGAAGCAUGAAAAAAAAAAAUGAGCUGAACAACAUUUUAAGAAACGGAAAUAAAAUCGGGCACAAAUUCAACUCGCAUUUAAAUUGUUGAUUGGCAACGCGCGACGCGGGCGCCUCAAUUAAACAGCUUGACUUCAAUUCCAGCGAUGGCAGCCCGUACAGGCCGACACGCAUAAAUAAUGCAGGCGAUGCUGAUGCGCAUAUCGAUGGCAUUUUUAAUUGAAGUGUGCAACAUCCGAGCGACACGCAGCGAAAGGGGAAGCGGCAGAAGCUGGUGCAGCAAUCGAAGCAGACGGCAGACCCAGAGCCGCAGAUGAGCCCAAAAAAGAAAAAAGAAAAGUUAUUUAGCAUUUACUGGGAGUGAUCCAUGAAGUCUUUAAAAAGUUGCCAACUUUACUGGAAAUGGGCAGAAAUGGGCGUUCAAAUGGACUUGCAUACUAAAUAGGCUUGGAUAAGUAGCUCAAUUAAAAGUAUAAUCAAGGAAAAAAAACUGCGACUAAAUGUGGCCACGCCCUUUAAGUACUUUGACUUUGUCGCCGGACCUAUAUAUAUUUUUUUUUCUAUUUUUUGUUGUGUUGGCGACGCCUUAAAAUAAACACAUACUAAGCAUGCGA